rnacentral:rRNA from 1 species
GAUGAACGCUGGCGGCGUGCCUAAUACAUGCAAGUCGAGCGAAGCGGGGACGGGUGAGUAACACGUGGAUAACCUCCUAUAAGACUGGGAUAACUUCGGGAAACCGGAGCUAAACCGGAUACUAUUAGUUGGAUCCGCGCUGCUUUAGCUAGUGGGUAAGGUAACGGCUUACCAAGGCAACGAUGCAUAGCCGACCUGAGAGGGUGAUCGGCCACACUGGAACUGAGACACGGUCCAGACUCCUACGGGAGGCAGCAGUAGGGAAUCUUCCGCAAUGGGCGAAAGCCUGACGGAGCAACGCCGCGUGAGUGAUGAAGGUCUUCGGAUCGUAAAACUCUGUUAUUAGGGAAGCGGUACCUAAUCAGAAAGCCACGGCUAACUACGUGCCAGCCGCCGCGGUAAUUC